GCCUGCCCGGAGCUGGCGCCGCGCCGGCUGCCGGCGGAUGUCUGGUGAGAAGCAAACAGAUAAGGCCGCCCGGGCGGGAGGCCGGAACGCCACACGCGGGGCCGGGGGUUAUCGGGCGGCUGUGACUUCCAGGCGACUCUGUCGGGUGUAACUGACACGUGAGAACCCGCAGACACAGGUGGACCUGGGAGACACUGCGGCUUGAGCUCCGCAUCCUUGCAGUAGAGCAAAUAUGACAACAAAGCGAAUUGUGUGAUUUUUUGUUUCCCAGCGCGUAUGAAAGUUAUGUUCACCCCCUACUGUUGUGUGCAGUAGCAUUAUCUUUUUAAAAUGUAUAUACCUUAAUUUAAAAAUGCCUUGUUGCUAAAAAAUGCUACGCAGCAUCAGAGCUCUUAGCAAAGACGACUCUAGCAAAGAUGCCAGCACAACAAAUAUAAUAGUAACGACAGUUUGAAAUGCGGUGAGAACGACUAGAAUGUGACACAGAGACACGAAGUGAACAGAUGCUGGUGGAAGAAUGGUGCCGUGUAAGGCCUGCUCCACGCAGGGCGGCCACAGACCUUCAGUUUGUAAAAACUGCAAUGUUUGCGAAGCCCAAUGAAACAACUCUGUCUGGACUCGAGUUCCAUUUCGUGAGCCGCAGCCCAGGCACGCACCUGGGCAGCCGCCGCCGCCAUCAGCACAGGGAUCACCUCCUCCGUCCCCCGAGGGGCCUGGGCCCCUUUGAGAAGCUGCCCGUCCACCAGCCACGGCAGCUGCGGAUCUGCUCGUGGUCGCUGCAGGUUCAUUUGCAUUUUCUCGAAUUUCAUAUAAACGGAAUCAUGCAGUGUGUACUUUUUUUGGUCUGGCUUCUUUCCCUCAGGUUUUUGCGUGAAGUUCUUUUGCGAUCCAUCCACGUUGUGGUUUGAUUCAAUGUUUUGUUCCGUUUUUGCUGGGCAGUACUUCCUGGUGCAAGUGGGCUGCAGUCUGCUCCUCGGCUCACCCACUGGUGGUCCUGGGAUGUCCCCAGUUUGGGGCUUUGACAAACAGAGCUGCUGGGCAGGUGUGCGCAGCCUCGUGUGGCACAAGCCUUUGUUCCUCCUGGGCAAACACGCACAGUGGCAUGGCCGGGUCGUACAGCUGGCGUCCGGGCGACUUUUUAAGCCAGCUGUCCCCCAGCGUGGUGCUGUCUUGUGCGUCCCCACCAGCCACGGACGAGACUUCUGGUUUCCCCACAUCCUCACCGGCACUGGGCACCGUCCGUCUUCAGACUGUCGCCUGUGGGUCAUGGUGUCUUGCAUACGUGUCUCGCCGCCCACGUGUCUGCUUUGGUCAAGUGUCCUUCAAAUCUUUGCACAUUAAAAAACUGGACUAUCUGCUGCUGUGCAGUUCUGAGAGUUCUCUACCUGCUCUGGACGCAAGUCCUGCACCAGCAUCCAUGCCGGACGCAGGCUGGUUGCUAAUGGCGGCCUUUCCUCCCCGCUGUGGCAGAGCUGUCCUCUUCCUCUGCCUUCCCGGCGCUCGUGAUCGGGUGGCAGACACUGUGAAUUUCACCUGGGGGACACUUCUGUCCCCUCCAGACCUUCUUGCCCUUUGCUCUGGGGCACAGGUAAGGUGCGUGGACGCAGUUUGGUCUUUUGGGUCUUGCUUUUGUGAACCCUCAGGUGGCGCUGGAGCAGGGCUCAGUCCAGGCAGGGCUGGUGAGCCGUCUACCGGCCACAUGGUGAUUGUGAGGUUUUCCAGCAUCCCUUGUGGGACAGCGCUGCUCCCUCCCGUCCAGCAGGUGGGUCCUCCCCACUCAGGCCUUUCCUUCACUUGUGUGUCCUGCCUGGUGGGACCCCAGUAGCUUCUGCACACCCAGGGCUCGCUCUGUGCAGCCCUCUCCUCUCCAGCGUCCCCUGAACUCCAGCUACCUUGGUCUCCCGGGGUCUCAGCCAAGCUCCUCCUGGUCCCUGCCCUGCACCUCGUCCUGGAAACUGCCCCAGGCACUGAUCUGGGAACCUGCAGGGCUGCCCAGGUGUGUUUUCUGUCUCCUCUAGGAUCUCUGUUCUUCUUUGCCUGACGUCCAGCAUCUUGACAACUGUCAUUUCACAUAUUUUGUCCCACCUUUCAGCUGUUUCAGGAAGGAGUGAAUCCAAUCUGGUAUUCUUUUUGUUGGAAAUGGAAGAACUCAAUGAGAUAGAUCCAAAAAACACUGUAAUGUCGUUCAGUCACUCAUAAAAUGUGGGGAAAUGCAGAAAGGCAGCCAGAAGAUAAACACUGCCCCUCGGGGCCCCUCUGCCCAAGCCCAUGUGCCGGCAGCCGGCAGCCCUUCGCCGCGUCUCCUCCUGGCUGUUCCUGUGUGUGAGACCCUGGGCAGCACGACGCUCAGCACAGAAGGGCGGCUUGGGAACCUGGAGUUUAUCAUCUCCUCAUCUGAGGCCCAGGUGUCGGAAGGGCUGCUUCCCUUGAGGCCCCCUCCCCUUGCUCCUGGUGCUUCCUGACCAUCUCUGGGGCUCCCUGACCUGGCGACGCAUCGCCCCACCUCUGCCUCCGUCUCCCCAUGUGCGUCUGAUCCAGAUGCUCCCUCUUUUCACAAGGACCCCAGUUGCACUGGAUGAGGGCCCACCUGCCCCAGGUGACCUCACCCUCACUCAUUACAUCUGUGAGGACCCUGCUUCCAAGCCGGUCCCAUCCUGAGGUGCUGGGGGUCUGGAUUUCCACCUGUGAAUCUGUGUGUUUCCGCGGGAGGAGGCCACAUGCAGGAACGCCGCUGCCCUUUGGAGACUCUGUUUACCUUGGGGAGCAGGUGGGGCAGGCCUGUUCUGCCCAAGGCUCUGCCUACACCCUCUAUCAUGCAGAUGUCCUGGGCUGGUGUCCCAAGACAGAAGCCCAUCUCAGGGGUCCUGCCCGGGCCGGUGGCGGGGCCUCGAGCGGGGGGUACACCCUCUGCGCCGGACCUCCCGCCCUCAGGCCUGCCCACCCUCUGGGCCACCACCUCCCUCUGACUCCUGGGCAUCACUGAGACGCACGUGGCCCCAAGGCCUCCGGCCACAGCCUCACUGGGCACUCGUGGCCUGUGGGACGAGGCAGGCUUGUCAGCAACAAGAAGAAGAGACAAGCCAACGACCGCCGGCAGCCCCCCGGGCCAGGCUCUGUCCUUCGCGCAGCUGUGGCUGGUGGGGGCACCUGGAGUCUGGCCCCGCCUGCUGGGCCCGGCCUGGGGCUGCUCACCCGUGCGGUGACGCUGACCUGUGGGUGACAGGCAGGCCAGGUCCCCCCAGCUACUCCUUGAGAACUUUCUGUUGACUUUCCUGCUUGGCCAGCUCUGUAAUCUGCUGGUGCAAAGGCCACAUCCGCUUCCUCGUGGCCUGCGUACGAGGACCGUCCCUGCUCCCUCCGCUGUGUGACGAGGCCUGGCUCCAGGCCCAGCCCUGG